CAAUAGAAGAAUAGUUGUAAAGUUACAUAUUAGCAAUCCUUUAGUGUUCCUUUCAUAACGCAUUUAUGUUCAAAACAACUAUUCCAGAGUAUCAUUCCCAGUUUUUCUGUCUGCAGCUGUAUUACAUUCACAGUUCAUAACAGAAUAAUGAUCUAAGUUAUUCAGAAGAAUCCUUUUUUUUUUUUUUUUUUUUUUUCUGGCAAUACUGGUGGAAUGCAGAAGUUCCUGGGGCCAGAGUUCAAACCCAUACCACAGCAGUGACAAUGUCAGAUCCUUAACCCACUGAGCCACCAGGGGACUCCUAUAAUCUGUUAUUUUAUAAGAAUUUGUGAGGAGUUCCUGUUGUGGCAUAGAGGAAAAAAAUCCAACUAGUAUCCGUGAGGAUGCGAGUUUGAUCCCUGGCCUUGCUCCGCAGGAGGGGGAUACAGCAUUGCCAUGAACUGUGGUGUAGGUUGCAGACUCGGCUCAGAUCCCACGUUGCUGUGGCUGUGGUGUAGGCUAGCAGCUGUAGAUCCGAUUCAACCCCUAGCCUGAGAACUUCCGUAUGCCGUGGGUGUGGCCCUAAAAAGUGAAAGAAAAAAAAGAGGAAUUUGUCAGAUUCUCUGGGACAUUUAUGUAUAUUUUUUUUCUUUUUUUUUUUUUUAAAGGAGAGGCAAGCAGAAUAUCAUUUAAUUUUUAAAAGAGUGAACAAGAAAACCCUCAUUAAUAUGUAUAUAUUUCUUUAAGGUGUUUUCUAGCCCUUUCUCAGGCAACUUUAUGUUAAGACAUAAUUAUGCUUACAAAAAAUUGUUACUUUUUUCCCUUCUUCUUUCUUUCUCACCCACAACAUGUUAAACAGUCAGGGCUGAGAGCAUCUGGUUGAAAAAGCAGAGCUGGAGAUAAACCAAUUUCUAUGAAGGGGGGAAUACAAAGAAAAUUUUACCAGACCUCAAACACACGUUAGCCAGUAUUGCAUUAGGACCAUGUUUGAACACAUGCAUUGCUGGGCUCGGGGUUUUCGAAGCCUGGAGAGAGGCAAUUGGGGGAUGCCUUGAUAGUGAACAGGAAGACACCUGCAAAUUCCACCACCACCCUUUCCCCCCCACUACAGACCUGUCGCUAAUGAAUGAGAUCCUAUCAUUGUAGAGCGUUCUCGGUCUUACACUUAGGGCAUGCAGAUGCUACGGGGAAUGACGGCAAUAUACAACAGCGAUUUUCUUCCCCAGGUGGCGUGACGAAGUUUAUCAGUGCCUUUCCAACCUAACCAACUGCCUAAGAGGAAAUUAAUCAGAGCACCAAAAGGGGGGGCUUGUGCGCGUGCGCGCGCACAUAACACGGACACGUAGAGGCCAAGCGAGCAGGCAGGCAAGUGAUUCCUGGAAGAGUCGGGGCCUCAGAGGAAGGGCUUGGGGUGAGAUGAGAAGCCCAGCAGUUUGGAGGCCCUAGGAGGUGUGGGGUCUAAUGAGAGAGAUGGAGAGAGGAGGAUUGAAUGUAGAGUCUUUAGCACCGAGUAUGGUCCCCAUGGGGGCUGGGUAGAAGAGCUGACCAUUGGGAGAAAGGGGCCGCUGCAUGUGGGCCCGGGGUUCCUGAGUGGGGGAGGAGUAUGGAUCACGGGAGUAAGAGGAAAAAGACCACGUAAUCUGUUGUCUCUUGUUUCAUGCAAGCACCUGCCUGGGUGAGACCCACGUGAGUACGUGGUGGAUGCUAUUCCCAGUCAGCCCUGAGCCUCACCUCACCACUCCUCUUGCCAAGAUCAGUCUCCAAAAACUGGUUGCCCAAUCACGUGGGCAUGAGUCAGGCCCCUGCCAGGCUGAGUACGGCGUGGGUGUGGGCGGGAGCGGGAGACUUGCACAACUCUGAACCGAUGAAGUCAUCAGAGAAAGCCCAGCUACGGAGAAGCCCCAGAGUGACCCCUCUAAAGCCUUAGAGAGUCGGGCCACUGGGCAGUAAGAUUUCUGGCUUCCCAUCUGGCCUGGCCCUGUGUGCCCUGUCACUUUCCAGACCAGAGUAUUGACAGGGAUUAUCAGUGCUCUUUCUGUCUGCCUCUGUAAGGGGAGAGCGGAGGAUGUGACAAAGCCAACAUCUCUGACAUCCCCAAGCUUGACUUUCUGUUCCCGUGACUGGUACUGAGCACCCCUGGGCUGGAGACUGGCAGGGGGCUCUUCCCCAGCCUCUGGCAGGGAGGAAUGGGGCACCUUCCUGAGGACCACUGGCCUUGGGAUCUUCAGGCAGCUUGGGUCUGGGGGGAGGAAGAUUAGGGAUGCUGAAUCUCUCAUCCACUUCAGCUCAAUGCUGCGGCUUAAGAGCCAGACCAAGCUUGGGGCAAGUUCAGGGUACAACCGUCUUGGGCCUGCAAACCAUCUACUGAGCAAAGGCAUGGAGCCAAGCUGAUAGGAGUAAAAGCAUCACUACUGGGGGAGUUCCCGUCAUGGCUCAGCAGAAACGAAUCUGACUAGCAUCCAUGAGCAUGCAGGUUCCAUCCCUGGCCUCACUUAGUGGGUUAAGGAUUUGGUGUUGCUGUGAGCUGUGAUGUAUGUUGGCAGCUAUAGCUUCGAUUCGACCUCUAGCCUGGGAACCUCUGUAUGCCCUGGGUGUGGCCCUAAAAAGACCAAAAGAAAAAAAAAUCAUCACUAUUGAAGGUGGUACAGAAAACAGCAAGUUGGAAAAAGAGGGACCUACCCUUCUCACGUAUAGAGCUUGUCACAUCCGAACUCAGGUCAACAAAAAACCACAAGUGCAGUGAUUCCAAGAGGACAUGCCUCUAAGGGAGCAUGGGAUAGGGGACAUUUGUGAUUCUCAGCAGGAGGAGAGGAAAUUUUUUAAAUUUCCUCCAACCACCACCACACCCACCUGCAAAAAUUCUGAAUCAUCUUCCAGUUAAGAAUGGCGACAGUAUUGGCAGCCAAAAAAGUCCAGAAACUAUUCCCUGAGCACCUCCUGUAUGCUGGUGCCUUGAGUAGAUUCCUCAGGGCACUGGGCAGACACAAGUAAAGAAUUACUGCUCCAGUGGGUCAUCGCUCUGGGCUUGUCUGCAUGUUUAUUUACUCACAAGACAGUCUAGCAGGGAGGGCCUGAACCAGCACAGUUUCACCAUUGGUGUGGGAUGGGUAACACAGGAAGUGACCCUGUGGCUCACCUAAUCCACAUGCUCAGCCAGACAGGUGAGGUUGGAGGUCACUGUCACAGGCAGUUACCAGCCCAGUGGAAGCAGAUAAUGAAUCAUGUGGGACCCAGCCGGGGUCAGCCUCGCAGGUGGACAGAGAGUGAGCAGUAUCAACAGAGCCACUUUUGGAAGUCUGGUCAGGCGGCUGAACUUGGGGAUUUAGGAGAAUUCUCCAGCCUUGGAGCUGGGCAACUGGAAGGUAUAGUCAGGGAGGCAGGAGUCCUAGGAGAUUGUCGGAAAGGAACCCAGGAACAGAGGCCAAAGGGGAAGCAGAUGGGGUUCGGGCCUUGGAUCUUGGGAGCAGGCCCUGGAUCACCUUGUCUUGGAUCAGAUGGGGGAGGGCAGAAGAGGGGGAGUUAUGGAGACUGUGGAUUGGGGUGGAGAACUGUGAGCCCGCCCCAGAGGGUCCCCAAGGCCCAGAGAAGGAGGAGGAGAAUUGGGAGCUGGAGAUAGAGGGUGAGCUCCUGGGCAGCAAAGGAGUCUGUCAUCUGUCUCUUUGGGUACACAACCAGGGCCCCCUCUGGCCCACACGGGGUCCUCAUAUGAACUGAAAUGGCGCCCCCCUUGGGGCAGACAAGUUGGGCAAACACCCCAGAGGUACUCAUGGUUCCUUUGUAUGAAGAGAAAGACUCUGCUUCCUCCUGCAGGGCCCCCUCGGCAGGACACACAACUGGAGAACAGAGCAUGAAGUAGAUUUCAGUGGCCACUCAGUCCCUUGGUCGGCAUCUGUGUGCCGGCCACAAACUGCACGGCCACACGUGGAUGCCCAGGAGCUGCUCGGGGAGAGGGUGGGAAGGCCCCAGUCUCUCUGUCCUGGGCAAGCCUGGACCUCCCACCAGGAGCAGUGGCUGUGGGUGAACUUACCUCCGUGGUGUGAGGAGGCGAGUUGAAAUAAGCUAGUCUUUAUGCCUUUGAAAACCGGCCCCAGACCUCAGCUACCAUCCUGCAGUGUCACCUCUAAUUGAUUCCUGGCUCCCCCCAUGUUGGAAUGUCAAGAGUCAGGGCUAGAGAUAUGCACCCCCCCGCCCCGGCCAACCUCAAGGCCACAGAGUCACAGCUGGAGAGAGACGGACAAGCUGGCAGCCUUGACCACAGGUUUACGGGGUGACUCCUGACCUACACGUUAGAGUAUUUACUAGUGAUGACUAAUAUUUAUAGAGCACGUAGCAGUUUAGCAAGUGCUUUCUCGAACCUGGUCUCAUUUGCUGCCUGUGAGGCAAGGAUGAGUGGCUUACCUCUCACACAGGAGAAGACAGACGCGGAGAUGCCUGAGGUGGCAGGAGGUGCCGUGGGGUAGGUGGGGUUAUGGUCUCUGAACUCGACUACCUGGGUUCCCAUCCCAGUCCUGCUGUUUCCCUGCUGUAUGACACAGAGCAGGUUGCUUCAUCUUUUUGAGCCUCCGUUUCUCCAUGUACGAGAUGGGAAAUUAGUAGCCACCUCAUGCAUGAGGUGCCUGUGGCAGUUAAAAUACUCAGACCAGUGCCUGGCAUGGAACAAGCGACCCCAGCAUGGACGACCUGCACUCACCGUCAAUGAUGGAAAAUAAGAUCCACCGAUAUGUACAAAAUCUCACAUGUUUUAGCAACUCCUUGUGGUACAAUUCAGAUUAGGUCAGAUUCCAGUCACAUUUGGGAAAUUUAAUUGCCCAUAAGUUUGUCAGUCAUAACUUGGCUCCCACAUAGAGGAAAGCAGUGGGUUGAGUACUUAGGUAAGGGGCCCACAAACGCAGGUGACAGGGAUGAGGGAAGCAGGUGGAGUGGGCCCUGGGCUGGACUGGAAAGUGUGGCCCCUUAUGAAGGGGCAUCUGGCAAAAGGUGGCCAGAUGGGAAUACAGGAUACUCAUUUUUCAACUGAAUCUGCCCAUUUUUCCACAGAAGCCCCAAACGGUGACUUUUAAUGUGAAAUAUCCUGAUUUUUAAUUUUAGCAGCUAUUUUGCAUUUCUUUAAAACACUGUGAUGGUGGAGUUCCCUGGUAGCCUAGAGGUUAAGGACCUGGCAUUUUCACUGCUGUGGCUCAGGUCACUGCUCUGGAGCAGGUUGAGUCUCUGGCCCGAGAACUUCCACAUGCCAGGGAUGUGGCAAACAAACGAACAAACACUGAGUAGCCAGACCAGAGCCAGCUGCAGGCCACCUGCUUGUGCCAGCUGUCCAGGUUAUCCUCUCUCACGGCGACCUCCUGGAGCUUCAGUGCCUGCUGACCACACACUGUUCUCCAGGCCUGUCCUUUCCUGUCCCCUUGAUAGACACCAACUUUCUUGUUUUGCUCCUUAAGGCCCAUAGGUGGUAUGUCUGCUGUGAAAGUGAUGGGGGUUCUACCUGGAAGGUCCCCCCACAUCAUCACUCAAUUACCAUGUAAUAUGAAAAAAGCUGUGCUGUGUAAAAUAAGCUGAAAUAUACUUCCAAAUGCAAACAAGCAAUGGAAAGUGUUUCUGAAGCUCCACACGCAUAAGAUACUGUGUAUUCACAGGAAUUUUUUAAUAAUAUUCAUCUCAGGAGAGAGAUUCGACACCACCUGAAAACUCCUCAUUAAAGAGAGGAACCUCAGGGAGUUCCCACUGUGGCAUGACAGGUUAAGGAUCUGGCAUUGCCACAGCUGUGGCAUAGAUCACACCUGCGGCUUGGAUUCAGUCCCUGGCCUGGGAACGUCCUUAUGCUGUGGGUGUAGCCAAAAAAGGAAAAAAGAGAGAGAGAAACCUCAGGAGUUCCCUGGUGGUGCAGCAGGUUAAGGAUCUGGUAUUGUCACUGCUGUGGGAUGAAAUUGAUCCCUGGCCUGGUAACUUCAACAUGCCCAGG
rnacentral:lncRNA from 1 species